rnacentral:rRNA from 1 species
UAGUUUGAUGAGAAAUAUCUUUCAAUUUAGUGUAAUAUUUAUUUGUACUGUAAAGGGGGUUUGAAAUAUUUUGAAAAUUUAUUUUAUUAAAAGUAUAUUUUGUUUAUAGUACCUUUUGUAUCAGGGUUAAUCAAUUACUUAUAAUUUUUAUUUUAGUUGUUGUUGCAUAAACAUUAACAAUUUUUUAUUAGAGAAGAAAUUUUAUUCGUUUUUAUAGGUAUCUAGUUUUUUAAGAAAUAAAUUUAAUUUAGGUAGUAUUUAUUGAAUAAAUACUACUAAUUCAAUAGGGGAUAAGCUCUAUUAUUUAAUUGUAGUAGGGUUAAAAUCAUCCAUCUUUUUAAUUACGUUAUAGUAUAUAUUAGUUUUUUAUUAAAAUUUAAUGGUUAAUAAUUAACCAUUAGUAAUAAUGAUUAAAUUAGUAUAAUUUUGAUUUUUAUUAUUAAAUAAGGAACUCGGCAAAUAAGCGCUCGCCUGUUUAUCAAAAACAUGUCUUCAAGAAGUCUGACCUGCCCAGUUCUAACGGCCGCGGUAUAUUGACCGUGCAAAGGUAGCAUAAUCAUUAGUCUUUUAAUAAAAGGCUGGCAUGAAUGGUUUGACGAGGUGCUGACUGUCUCAUUUAAUUUUUAUUAGAAUUUAACUUUUGAGUUAAAAGGCUAGAAUACUUUUGGAAGACGAGAAGACCCUAUAGAGCUUUAUAAUACUUAUUAUUUUGUUGGGGUGACAAAAAUAUAUAAUUAACUUUUUUAUUUAUUUUACAUUAAUGUAUGAUUUAUCAAAUCCAUUUUUAGUGAUUACUAAAACAAGUUACCUUAGGGAUAACAGCGUAAUCUUCUUUCAGAGUUCAAAUUUACAAAAAGGCUUGCGACCUCGAUGUUGGAUUAAAAUUAUAGUUAGGUGCAGCAGCUUAACUUAUAGGUCUGUUCGACCUUUAAUUUCUUACAU